ACCACCUACACACGCAUGACUCCCAGUGUCUAUCCCCUCCACCUUCGCCCGACACGCCCCAACCUAGCUCACUACCUCCCACGGCCGGCGUGCCCACAACCCCCUCCCAUCGGCCGCUGCCGUGCCCCCACUCCUCUACCUUUCCAGACCACCGCCCCCGGUGCUGCACCUUCCCCCAACCCCGCGCCCCACCUUCUACGCCAGGCGCCAGCCGCCACCCUCCCCCUCUUUCUCCCGUGCCACCCCAAACAAUGGCGAGAUCCACCGCCACCAGGCCCCGGCGCGGCCUCAACCACCGGAUCCGGCCACCACGGCCACUCGGCGCGGCCUCAACCGCCGGAUCCGGCCACCACCGGCCCCCGACAUGCCUUGAAACCACCAGAAUGGACCGCGACGGCCAUGGGUGCAGCAACCAGCCCACAUCUUUCCUUGGGCGGCUGUGGAGUUCGUCUCCAUCACCGACGAGCCUCCCCUCUCCUCUGGCCGGAUUCCAGCGAUCUCCGUGGCCUGUCUCGCGCCGGAUUCGGCCGCCGGGGCCACUGGAUCCGUGGCAAGUGGAUCCCGUGCGUGCUAGAUCCGGCUGUGGUGCGCCCGUCCACUCCAUGCAUUUCUCUUCCCAUGAGGCUCGCCGUUCUCGAGCUCGAGCUCCAGGGCUCCUCAAUGAUGACUCUGAAGCACAACCAUGGCCGCCUGGGAGGCACCCAAGGAGGGCAACGGCAGCGCCGCCGCCGGAGAGCCGGAGUCCUGCUCCUCCCCUUGUUCUCGUCCUUGUCUGCGUUCGAGCGCACCUAUCAGUGAUGGCCGCUGCGUACGUCGCGUGCAGCUCGGGCCACGAGGACGAGAAGUACGUCCCACGGGACAGCGCAGUACUGGGUGAAUCUCGUGCUCGUGCGUGCAGUCCACUGUUGGGACGGCGGGUAUUGCAGUGCGAAGAAGUGCAGCGUGCAGCUCGCCCGGGCAUGUGAGCCAUGACGCUCACCUGCAGGAUGCAGCUCUCUCCUCCACUCCUUGUUGUUCGCCACAGGGUGGCCGGCGGCAUCCUUUUAUAGAUGGAGAACAUACAAAAGUGGACGGCGUCCAGGGAUGUAAUUCUCUACCUGUGGCACGUUCAGCUGGGUGCUGCCAUUGCAAAGGAUAUUGUUUUGUAUUGGAGUAUGUGUGUGUGUGUUGAGCAGGUUACUAUUUUUGUUGUAGUCCAUGCGCUCGACGCGAGUAGUGGUGCGGCAAUGCACUUCGUCGUCGUGUGAAGUUCCCUGUGUCGCCAUUACAGUGUGGUUGCCCGUCUUUUUAUAAGUAAACUUUGAAGCUCACUUUGUUGUC